rnacentral:rRNA from 1 species
CUAGAUAGAAUACUGAUAAUGACAAUUUUCUAUCUAUAUGUCUUGACCAAAUCACGUGCCAGCAGUCGCGGUAAUACGUGAAAGACUAGUGUUAUUCAUCUUUAAUAGGUUUAAAGGGUACCUAGGCGGUAUUUUUCACCUGAGUAAGGUAUAUAAAUACUAGAGUUUAAUGUGGGAAGAUGUUGUAGUACUCAUGGUGUAGAGAUAAAAUGUAAUAAUACCAUGAGAAAACUGGUACGCGAAAGCAACCUUCUAUGUAUAAACUGACGCUGAGGGACGAAGGCUUGGGUAGCGAAUAGGAUUAGAUACCCUAGUAGUCCAAGCAGAAAAUUAUGAAUGCCAUAGAUUAGAUUAGAUUUAGUCUAUAAAUGAAAGUGUAAGCAUUCCACCUCAAGAGUAAUGCGGCAACGCAGGAACUGAAAUCAUUAGACCGUUUCUGAGACCAGUAGUGAAGUAUGUUAUUUAAUUCGAUGAUCCGCGAAAAACCUUACCACAACUUGAAUAUUAAUUUUUUUAAAUUAUUACAAGCGUUGCACGGCUGUCUUCAGUUAAUGUCGUGAGAUUUUGGUUAGCUCCAUUUAAUUAACGAAAACCCUUGCUUUAUUUAUUUUUUAACU